UGUGUGAAGCACUGUGUCGUGCCCGUCUUGGUGCGCUGCUGGUGGCUGGUCUCUCUCUCUCUCUCUCUCUCUCUCUCUCUCUCUCUCUCUCUCUCUCUCUCUCUCUCUCUCUCUCUCUCUCUCUCUCUCUCUGUCUCUCUCUCUCUCUCUGUCUCUCUCUCUGUCUCUCUCUCUGUCUCUCUGUCUCUGUCUCUGGAAUUGUAUGAUUGUGAAGACAUCGGGAACCUUAAAGGUUGAGAAGUGAACGGAUUAUACGGCGAAUUGAGACGACGUGAAAAAGGGGAUUGGAAGCGGCAUUGAUGUGAGUACUAAGAGCAAGCCGAAAGUGCCCUGUAUAUUGACCUGGCGUUGUGUAGAUCUCCCCAGGAGGAGGAGGGCGGCCCUACCCCUAAUAUAGCGUGGUGGGAGAGCCGAAGGAAUACUUAUUGAAGUAGUCACAACGACGACAUCACUAGCUAGGCCGCAUAUUCCAUCGCCAGAUCCGAACCAAGCGAAGUGAAGGAAGACGGGUGUCCUUUUCGUACACUGAGUGUGGUGGGUGAGUCUUCGUGCUGUGAAAACCUAAAAUUUUGACGUGGUGCUGUAUAUUGCUGUGGGUUGCUGUGUAUUGCCGUGUGUCCUGUCAGAUAAACCCCCGCCUUCACGCACUCCGUCGCGGGAGGACAAAGAGACUGCUGGUUCUAGCCUAGUUCAGUACAGUAUAUGUUGUGAGCGUGCUUCAGACCUCCGGAGAUAGCACGGUACACUGUGUUCAGCCCAGAGGUGGGAGCUAUUCAAAGCAAACUAACUGUGCUUUGUGUCCAAUCUGAUACCUGUGGAGAGAAAAGGAAAAAGAGAUUGAUACCUGUGGAGAGGAGGAGAGAGAGUGGAUAACGGGAGGAGAAAUAGAGCGAAACCUGUACUUACAAUACGCUGUGUCCAGCCCAGAGGUGAGAGUCAUUCAAAGCAAACUAACUGUGCUAUUGUGCCCAAGUUGAUACCUGUGGAGAGAAAAGGAGAGAGAGUGGGUAACACGAGGAGAGACCGAGGAAACCCGUACUUACGCCGCUGCCUGUGGAGAAAGAGAAAGAGAGUGAGCACCCAAGGAACGAACUGUGUGAACCAGUACUUACUGUGAGCUGCAAUCAGCGAAGAGGUGAGAGCAAAACCAAGCCGAAUUAACUGUGCCUUUGCGUCCCAGCCGUUGCCUGUGGAGGAAGAGAAAGAGAGUGAGCACCCCGAGAACGAACUGUGUGAACCAGUACUUACCGUGAGUUGUAUUCAGCGAGGAGGAAGAAGGAGGGCGCUACGGAUAUCUAAGACUCUGGCCGGGCCCCGAGUCCCACGCCCCGGAUCCCCGUGGCCCCCUUGCUCCCUGACCUCUUCCCGGCCAUAGCCCAUCUGGAGGGCCGAGUCAGAGUUUAGUUUUAAUUGCCCUUUCCCUAUUCCCCAAGCUAUUUUUAAAUAUUUAAAUAAAGAUUGUUUUAUCACUUA